GCCGGGAUGGCGGAAUCGGUAGACGCAUCCGACUUAAAAUCGGCCGGGGCAACCCGUGGGGGUUCAAGUCCCCUUCCUGGCACCA
rnacentral:tRNA from 1 species